rnacentral:RNase_P_RNA from 1 species
AAUGCAAAACGUUCUAUCGCUGUUUGCCCUAAAGCGAACGGAGGAAAGUCCGGGCAACACAGAGCAUCCUGCUUCCUAACAGGAAGGCGCCGGCAGCCGGCGACAGCAAGUGCCACAGAAAAUAUACCGCCCGGGAUUUAUCGCGGGUAAGGGUGAAAACGUGAGGUAAGAGCUCACGGCUUUUCCGGGCGACCGGGAUCGCGGUAAACCUCAGGAGUUGAAAGACCAAAUAGGUUCUGGAUCAGGAGUUGCUCGCUCCCGUGUAAUUGUUAGCAAUUACCUUCAGAAUGGGUAGGUUGAUUAAACCUGUCAGCAAUGGCAGGGCCAGAUUAAUGAUAGAAGUUCUCCUUACGGGGAAUACAGAACCCGGCUUACAGAUUUGCUGCUGCA